UACGUAGGGUGCGAGCGUUAAUCGGAAUUACUGGGCGUAAAGCGUGCGCAGGCGGUUUUGCAAGCCGGAUGUGAAAUCCCCGGGCUCAACCUGGGAAUGGCAUUCGGGAGUGCAAGGCUGGAGUGCGGCAGAGGAGACUGGAAUUCCUGGUGUAGCAGUGAAAUGCGUAGAUAUCAGGAGGAAUACCGAUGGCGAAGGCAGGUCUCUGGGCUGACACUGACGCUCAUGCACGAAAGCGUGGGGAGCAAACAGG
rnacentral:rRNA from 1 species